GAUGAAGAACGUAGCGAAAUGCGAUAAGUAAUGUGAAUUGCAGAAUUCAGUGAAUCAUCGAAUCUUUGAACGCACAUUGCGCCCGCCAGUAUUCUGGCGGGCAUGCCUGUUCGAGCGUCAUUUCAACCAUCAAGCCCCCGGCUUGUGUUGGGGACCUGCGGCUGCCGAAGGCCCUGAAAACCAGUGGCGGGCUCGCUAGUCACUCCGAGCGUAGUAAUACAUCUCGCUCAGGGCGUGCUGCGGGUUCCGGCCGUUAAAAAGCCUUAUUUACCCAAGGUUGACCUCGGAUCAGGUAGGAAGACCCGCUGAACUUAAGCAUAUCAAUAAGCGGAGGA
rnacentral:misc_RNA from 1 species